UGUGGAUAAAGAUAUAUGACAUACGUAGACUAUGAUAAUAACAGAGGUUUGAACAGGGACAAGCUGUGUUUCAUUGGCUGCCGAACUGUCCCACAGUUUGGGGCGCUGUAGUGGAGACCUUGGGAAAAGAAUGAAAACCCAAAUCUUGCCGUUGGGGAAGGCCACCCCGCUUGCACGUACUAAAGAACACAGCUGGAUUGGCAUUGGGGCUAAAAUACUCAGGGCAGUAGCCCCUAGUGAUGGGACCUACCGACGCCCAAGACUGUGAUAGUGUUGGUGGACAGACAGGUGAACGUCGACCUACUGAGUCUCAGGUGAUGUCAGCGGACGGCCGCUAACCCGGGAGGGCCCUCCAGAAGAUGGCCUGCUUGGAAGAUGCAGACGCAGCGCUUUUCCGACUUGUUCAUGAAGACGACAUACUCAAAAGCUGCACCCUGCUCUUCUGUGUUCCGGGUGAAGAGGCGGGCCUUCUCCUUCAGCAGCUUACUGAGACACUUCCCGCCUGAAUUACAACACAGAGACAAUGACAUAUAACAACAAAUGGUUUAACAAUGACUGGAUCAACGCGAGCAAAAACCUUCUUACCGACACAGCGCGAGAGCUGAGCCAAGGAAGCAGGGCUGUUCUGGGGAUCAGCCGCAGGAUGGCGCUCCUGAGGGGACGAGCGGAAACG